rfam:Aedes albopictus isolate Foshan contig86331, whole genome shotgun sequence.
UGCCCAGCAACUCGUAUCCCUACCUCCACGCGGUACCGGCCGGAAACUAUGAGCAACCUUAGGGAAG